rnacentral:rRNA from 1 species
AUUGAACGCUGGCGGCAGGCCUAACACAUGCAAGUCGAACGAGUGGCGGACGGGUGAGUAAUGUCUGGGAAACUGCCUGAUGGAGGGGGAUAACUACUGGAAACGGUAGCUAAUACCGCAUACCAUCGGAUGUGCCCAGAUGGGAGUAGCUAGUAGGUGGGGUAAAGGCUCACCUAGGCGACGAUCCCUAGCUGGUCUGAGAGGAUGACAAGCCACACUGGAACUGAGGCACGGUCCAGACUCCGACGGGAGGGAGCAGUGGGGAAUAUUGCACAAUGGGCGAAAGCCUGAUGCAGCCAUGCCGCGUGUAUGAAGAAGGCCUUCGGGUUGUAAAGUACUUUCAGCGGGGAGGCGUUACUCGCAGAAGAAGCACCGGCUAACUCCGUGCCAGCAGCCGCGGUAAUAC